CUAUAGUCAAUUAAAUUGACUGAGUUCCUUUGCCGAUGGGUGCCCAGUGUAUAAUGGCUGCAAACAUCAACUUCCUCAGUAGUGUGAGCAGCCUGUUGCUUGUGUAAGCUGCCUUAAGGGACCUUGGAGACCCUG
ensembl:snoRNA SNORA70 Small nucleolar RNA SNORA70